UCUCCUCGGGCCGCCCCGACGGGGGCUUCUCCAGCAUCUUGGUGCCGGGCUUGAAGCAGACGCCCCCGGCCUUGGUGCGGACGAAGUACUCGGUGGUGUCCUCGGGCAGCACGAAGUCCAUGCGGUGGAGCUCCUCCGCGGCCUUGCUGGGCGACAGCGGCUGCAGCAGGGGCGAGUCGGAGUAGAGGGGGGUGCGCAGCAGGUCCGGGCCGCCCGGCUCCUGGCUGGCCUGGGGCGUGACGGGGGCAUUGUUCCAGAAGAAGCUGGACACGAGGUUAGGGCUGAGGGAGGCCAGUUCUCGGGGGAAGGUGACAUAGGACAAGGUCUUAAAGAAAUGCAGGAAGGAGAUGAGGCACAGCCCAGCCAUACAGAACAGGAGGAAGAGCUUGUAGCGUCUCAUCUUCAUCCUGCAGGACAGAGGGAGAGAGCACACGGGUCAGGGGACUGCAGACCUGGCCGCGGACGCCCAGGAGGACUUUGUGAAUAUCCUGCUUGUCAGAGAAGUCGCCAAGAUGGCCCAGAGGUCCCCGCACCCGCCUGGUCCGGCACAGCGAGGCUCUGUCUCCAUCACCCCUGUGUCUCUGUCACAGGUCGGAAGCCCAACGGGCAGGCGCUUGCUUUACCCCCACAGACUGUUUCAGCAAUGCACCCGGGCAGCGGGGCGCUCCCGAAGCUCUGAGAACAGCAGGACAGAGUGGAGAGACACAGGCUUGGCUUCAGACUGCUGUGGCCUCCAGCCAGGCCCCUCACCACUCGGGACCUCCAUGUCUACAUCUCUGAGAUGGGCACAGAGGUAUGGGGUAUGGUGGGUGCCCCCUAACCCUGGAUCCUUUCACGGUGGGAGCCUGGACUGCUCCAGUGUCUGAGCCACCUGCUCAUCAAGUGUGGCACCUGAAGUGCUGGCUGCAAGCACACUGUAGGGCCAGUACUGUCAGUUUAUAGAGGCAGAAACCAGGACCAAGGGGGCUUCAGGGGUCUGCUGGGUUCCAAAGCUGGGGUGGGCACCUGGGUGCCUACUCCCCCAAGUCCUAACAAGCUAGUGAGGGAACAGUGGGGGUUGCCCUUCCCACCAGCCAGGUCCUGCUGUCUGGUCCAGGGCAUCCCACCUCCUCUGGCUUGCAUGCCUGCCUCCAGAACUGCUCACGGUGGCUGGCAUGGCUGGCUGCAGCAGUGGGCAGGACAACCCAGGUGGAGACAUGACUCCUCAAAUGGGACCUGUUCCAGGACAGAGGGGGUGGGCAGGAGGAGGGGCUGCUCCUACCCCACAUUUGCAGCAGGUCUUCCAGGCUCCUCUCUGCUGCAGACCCCAGCCGGUGCCAGCAGAGCAAGACCAGGCAGACCAGCCAGCAGGGUCACACUGCCCCAGCUGCCCCUUGACUGCCCAAACAGACUGGUUUUCAGGAUCUGGUUACACCCGCCAGCUGGGCCUUUUGGAGGUAAGACUGCAGAGCCUGGGAGCGCCCCGACUCACAGGGGCCUCUGGGUGUCUUGAUGAGGCUCUGGCCGGGCUUGCUACAGGGAUUCAUGGAGCUGGGCAGGCCUCCCUUUCACCAAGGGCCCUGGGGGGCUUUAAAUGCACACCGUGGUUGGCCUGGAGCAAGUCAGUACCUCGAGGCCACAUUUGGGGGACACCUUCAUUCAUGGCUGCUUGUAGUGUUUCAGCUCUUCUUGGUCUGAUGCCUUUUUAUCUUAUCUUCAUCUGUCUUGGUGAGUGCUUCAGAUACAGCGUUUGAUGGAGUGGCAUACAAGAGGGAACAGUGAACAAACAGCAUUGGCACCCAAGGCCUCAGUGAAGCCUUUCAACCAUCCCGCGAGGGCCUUGGAACUCUCCUUACAACCCAUAGAGAGGGGGAAGCAAGACUCACAAAGACAUUAAGAAGGUGGCCGAGUCGGACUCGGACUAGGUUCUGAGGGAACGCCGCUCCCUCCCUCCUGACAGCUGAGGCAGCAGGCUGUGGGCCACCCUGCGUUGCUCUGCCUCUGUCACCAAGCGCUACCGAGCAGCCACCCGCGAGACAGACACGAGCCGCUGCUCCUGAACACGCUGCCCCUGCUGGGAGGCUAGGGCCGGUCUGCAGGAGGAAUGUCCCAGGCAGAAGGAAGCAGGAAGGCUAGACCACACGGGGCCUGCCACCAUGGGCACAGCUGGCCAUGUGGUUUCCACGGGAGGGAAGCAGCUCUGCCUGUGGCCGGAGCCCAGACCGCUCUCCAGCCCCCUUCCUGGCCGCCCCAGGCGGCACUGAACAGUCUUCUGGGUUCAAGAGGUCACUGUGAACUUGAGCCUCAAGGUCAUUAUCCUCUGAACCUCGGCUCCUCCCUCCCUAAAUGGAUGUCCUAGUCCUGCCUUGCUCAGUUCAAAUAAGACCGCAAAUCAGACGUUCCAGCGCU